rnacentral:rRNA from 1 species
GACGAACGCUGGCGGUGUGCCUAACACAUGCAAGUCGAACGGUAAGGCGCUUUCGGGGGUACACGUGAGGCGAACGGGUGUGUGUCACGUGAAUAACCUUCCCUCAUCUCUGGGAUUACAGUCGGUAACGGUUGCCUAAACUGGAAAUGAGCUUGAAAGGGAUCUUGUGGGUUGGAAAGAUUUUUUUGGUUGGGGUUGGACUCGCGGUCGAUAAGCUUGUUGUGGAGGUAGAGGCUCACCAAGGGGACGACGGGUAGCAGGCCUGCGAGGGUGACCGGCCCCACGGGAACUGAGAGCCGGUCCAGAACCCUGAGGGAGGCAGCAGUGGGGCAUGUUGCACCAUGGGGGAAAGCUUGACGGAGCAAGGAAGCGUGAGUCAGGAAGGUCUUCGGCUUGUAAACGACUUUCAGUUGGGAAGAAGCUUUGUAUUUUUACGAAUCGUUGUUUUGACGGUAGCAAAAGAAGAAGCACCGGCUAACUACGUG